rnacentral:rRNA from 1 species
CCAGCAGCUGCGGUAAUUCCAGCUCUAAUACCGUAUAUUAAAGUUGUUGCAGUUAAAAAGCUCGUAGUCGGAUGUCGGGGACGAGACAUUGUGAACCUUUUGGUGAUCGAUGGCUCGUCUCUUUUUGCCUGCGGACUACACCUCCUGAACCGUGGUGCGCGGGAACACGGGCCGUUUACUUUGAAAAAAUUAGAGUGUUCAAAGCAGGCCUACGCUUGAAUACAUUAGCAUGGAAUAAUGGAAUAGGACUUUGGUGCUAUUUCGUUGGUUAAUGGGACCGAAGUAAUGAUUAAAAGGGACAGUUGGGGCCGUUUAUAUUUCGUUGUCAGAGGUGAAAUUCUUGGAUUUACGAAAGAUAAACUUCUGCGAAAGCAUUCGGCAAGGAUGUUUUCAUUGAUAAAGAACGAAAGU